AUUGAACGCUGGCGGCAUGCCUUACACAUGCAAGCCGAACGGUAACAGGUCUUCGGAUGCUGACGAGUGGCGAACGGGUGAGUAAUACAUCGGAACGUGCCUAGUAGUGGGGGAUAACUACUCGAAAGAGUGGCUAAUACCGCAUGAGAUCUACGGACGAAAGCAGGGGAUCGCAAGACCUUGUGCUACUAGAGCGGCCGAUGGCAGAUUAGGUAGUUGGUGGGAUAAAAGCUUACCAAGCCGACGAUCUGUAGCUGGUCUGAGAGGACGAUCAGCCACACUGGGACUGAGACACGGCCCAGACUCCUACGGGAGGCAGCAGUGGGGAAUUUUGGACAAUGGGCGAAAGCCUGAUCCAGCAAUGCUGCGUGCAGGAUGAAGGCCUUCGGGUUGUAAACUGCUUUUGUACGGAACGAAAAGCCCCGGGUUAAUACCCUGGGGUCAUGACGGUACCGUAAGAAUAAGCACCGGCUAACUACGUGCCAGCCGCCGCCGUAA
rnacentral:rRNA from 1 species